UACGGGGGGGGCGAGCGUUGUUCGGAAUUACUGGGCGUAAAGGGCUCGUAGGUGGCCCACUAAGUCAGACGUGAAAUCCCUCGGCUUAACCGGGGAACUGCGUCUGAUACUGGAUGGCUUGAGUUCGGGAGAGGGAUGCGGAAUUCCAGGUGUAGCGGUGAAAUGCGUAGAUAUCUGGAGGAACACCGGUGGCGAAGGCGGCAUCCUGGACCGACACUGACGCUGAGGAGCGAAAGCCAGGGGAGCAAACGGG
rnacentral:rRNA from 1 species